ensembl:lncRNA
GACAAAGUCAACAGUCUUUAGUUAUAUUUGGCCUUGUUUCGUUGAGAAAUUUAAAGAUAGCCUGUAUGGUGUCUACCAGCUAAGUGUCAGGAAGCAAAGGUGGUUUAGAAAUCUCAAAGGGUAGAUCUCAGCACUAGAGGGCGUUAUCCUGGAUCCAGUUUUCAACACUUUAGCCAGGUGACUUAAUGGGGUCUCAGGCCAGCUUCCCGGUCAGAUCAGCAUAGGUAAACUCUGGAUACCCAAGCCUACACCCAGCUUUUGGUACCAUGUCAGUGUGGGCGCAGACAAAUGGAGGUCCCACCAAGAUCGGGAAAGUGAAGAAUUUUUCUGACGAGGUCAUCCCAUGGCACCAUGAAGCGGGAGACAGUGAAGGACACUGCGGGAAUUGAAAGCAUGUGCAAAGAAAAAUAAAGAUGGGUUAGUGGAUGCUGCAGGUGUAUGCUAGCUGCCAGAGUGUCUAGUGAGACAUGUUGAUCCUGGGACAAAGAAUGAUGCUG